rnacentral:rRNA from 1 species
AUUGAACGCUGGCGGCAGGCCUAACACAUGCAAGUCGAGCGGAUGAAGGGAGCUUGCUCCUGGAUUCAGCGGCGGACGGGUGAGUAAUGCCUAGGAAUCUGCCUGGUAGUGGGGGAUAACGUCCGGAAACGGGCGCUAAUACCGCACCCGUCCUGAGGGAGAAAGUGGGGGAUCUUCGGACCUCACGCUAUCAGAUGAGCCUAGGUCGGAUUAGCUAGUUGGUGGGGUAAAGGCCUACCAAGGCGACGAUCCGUAACUGGUCUGAGAGGAUGAUCAGUCACACUGGAACUGAGACACGGUCCAGACUCCUACGGGAGGCAGCAGUGGGGAAUAUUGGACAAUGGCCGAAGGCCUGAUCCAGCCAUGCCGCGUGUGUGAAGAAGGUCUUCGGAUUGUAAAGCACUUUAAGUUGGGAGGAAGGGCAGUAAGUUAAUACCUUGCUGUUUUGACGUUACCAACAGAAUAAGCACCGGCUAACUUCGUG